UACGUAGGGGGCAAGCGUUGUCCGGAAUUAUUGGGCGUAAAGCGCGCGCAGGCGGUCUCUUAAGUCUGAUGUGAAAGCCCACGGCUCAACCGUGGAGGGUCAUUGGAAACUGGGAGACUUGAGUGUAGGAGAGGAAAGCGGAAUUCCACGUGUAGCGGUGAAAUGCGUAGAGAUGUGGAGGAACACCAGUGGCGAAGGCGGCUUUCUGGCCUAUAACUGACGCUGAGGCGCGAAAGCGUGGGGAGCAAACAGG
rnacentral:rRNA from 1 species